GACGAACGCUGGCGGCGUGCUUAACACAUGCAAGUCGAACGGAAAGGCCCUGCUUUUGUGGGGUGCUCGAGUGGCGAACGGGUGAGUAACACGCGAGUAACCUGCCCUUGACUUUGGGAUAACUUCAGGAAACUGGGGCUAAUACCGGAUAGGAGCUCCUGCUGCAUGGUGGGGGUUGGAAAGUUUCGGCGGUUGGGGAUGGACUCGCGGCUUAUCAGCUUGUUGGUGGGGUAGUGGCUUACCAAGGCUUUGACGGGUAGCCGGCCUGAGAGGGUGACCGGCCACAUUGGGACUGAGAUACGGCCCAGACUCCGACGGGAGGCAGCAGUGGGGAAUAUUGCAAAAUGGGCGGAAGCCUGAUGCAGCAACGCCGCGUGCGGGAUGACGGCCUUCGGGUUGUAAACCGCUUUCGCCUGUGACGAAGCGUGAGUGACGGUAAUGGGUAAAGAAGCACCGGCUAACUACGUG
rnacentral:rRNA from 1 species